rnacentral:rRNA from 1 species
UACGUAGGUGGCAAGCGAUACUCGGAAUCACUAGGCGUAAAGCGCAGGUAGGCGGUUUGGUAAGUCUUUUGUGAAAGCUCCUGGCUUAACUGGGAGAGGUCAAAGGAAACUACCAGGCUAGAGUUUGGUAGGGGAUACUGGAAUUCCUGGUGUAGCGGUGAAAUGCGUAGAUAUCAGGAGGAAUACCUAUGGCGAAAGCAGGUAUCUGGGCCACAACUGUCGCUGAGCUGCGAAAGCUAGGGGAGCAAACAGG